rnacentral:rRNA from 1 species
UACGUAGGUGGCAAGCGUUGUCCGGAUUUACUGGGCGUAAAGGGCGUGCAGGCGGUUUGUUAAGUGCAGGGUGAAAGCUCCCGGCUCAACUGGGAGAGGUCCUUGACAUACUGGCAAACUCGAGGGAGGCAGAGGAAAGUGGAAUUCCCGGUGUAGUGGUGAUAUGCGUAGAUAUCGGGAGGAACACCUGUGGCGAAGGCGGCUUUCUGGGCCUUACCUG